rnacentral:rRNA from 1 species
UGCAGUCGUGCGAGACCUUCGGGUCUAGCGGCGGACGGGUUAGUAACGCGUGGGAACGUGCCCUUCUCUACGGAAUAGCCUCGGGAAACUGAGAGUAAUACCGUAUACGCCCUUCGGGGGAAAGAUUUAUCGGAGAAGGAUCGGCCCGCGUCUGAUUAGAUAGUUGGUGGGGUAAUGGCCUACCAAGUCUACGAUCAGUAGCUGGUUUUAGAGGAUGAUCAGCAACACUGGGACUGAGACACGGCCCAGACUCCUACGGGAGGCAGCAGUGGGGAAUCUUAGACAAUGGGCGAAAGCCUGAUCUAGCCAUGCCGCGUGUGUGAUGAAGGCCCUAGGGUCGUAAAGCACUUUCGCUGGGGAAGAUAAUGACUGUACCCAGUAAAGAAACCCCGGCUAACUCCGUGCCAGCAGCCGCGGUAAUACGGAGGGGGUUAGCGUUGUUCGGAAUUACUGGGCGUAAAGCGCGCGUAGGCGGAUUAGAAAGUUGGGGGUGAAAUCCCAGGGCUCAACCCUGGAACUGCCUCCAAAACUACUAGUCUAGAGUUCGAGAGAGGUGAGUGGAAUUCCGAGUGUAGAGGUGAAAUUCGUAGAUAUUCGGAGGAACACCAGUGGCGAAGGCGGCUCACUGGCUCGAUACUGACGCUGAGGUGCGAAAGUGUGGGGAGCAAACAGGAUUAGAUACCCUGGUAGUCCACACCGUAAACGAUGAAUGCCAGUCGUCGGCAAGCAUGCUUGUCGGUGACACACCUAACGGAUUAAGCAUUCCGCCUGGGGAGUACGGUCGCAAGAUUAAAACUCAAAGGA